rnacentral:rRNA from 1 species
UAAUACCAGCACCUCGAGUGGUCAGGACGUUUAUUGGGCCUAAAGCAUCCGUAGCCGGCUUUGCAAGUCUUCGGUUAAAUCCACCUGCUCAACAGAUGGGCCGCUGGAGAUACUACAAAGCUAGGGAGUGGGAGAGGCAGACGGUAUUCAGUGGGUAGGGGUAAAAUCCUCUGAUCCAUUGAGGACCACCAGUGGCGAAGGCGGUCUGCCAGAACACGUUCGACGGUGAGGGAUGAAAGCUGGGGGAGCAAACCGGAUUAGAUACCCGGGUAGUCCCAGCUGUAAACGAUGCAAACUCGGUGAUGCAUUGGCUUAUGGCCAAUGCAGUGCCGCAGGGAAGCCGUUAAGUUUGCCGCCUGGGAAGUACGGACGCAAGUCUGAAACUUAAAGAAUUGACGGUAUCGU